ACGGCUCACUGGAGCAUCUUGUUAAAAUGCAGAUUCUGAUUCCAUGGUCUGGGGUGGGGUCUGAGAUCCUGCAUUUCUAAUAAGUUUCUAGGGUAUGCUGGUGCCACUGGUUCAUGGGCCACACUUUGAAAAGCAAGGUUUAGAAUCUAAGUAUUAACCACAGUACAAAGCGCAAUAAUCUGCAAAAAUGUGACACAAGCAAUAUACCACAGAAAUGAGCAUAGCAGAAGCAGCAUUUCUAACAGGAAGUCAAGGGUGUUGCACAGAGGAGGUGGGAUUUGAGAGAGCCUUGAACGAUGAGGAGGAUUUCUUUGGACAGAAUAUGAGUGUGUAUUAGGGAAAGUUCUGUUUGUCAGAGAAACUGGACCAAUGGGAAGUGUGUGUUUAAAAAGAGAGAGAAAGAUAUUUAUUUUACAAAGUUGUUUAAUGCAGUGGUGGGUGCUGGCAAGUCUGAAACCUGCAGGACAGGACAGCAGGCUGGAGGCCCAGGGAAGUGUCAAUGUUGCAAUUCAACUUCAAAGGCCAGUCUGCUGGCCGAAUUCCCUCUUUAGAGGUGAUUAGGCUUUUCCUAUUAAGGCCUUCAACUGAUUAGACGAGGCUCACCCACACUAUGGAGAAUAAUAUGAUUUACUCAAAGUCUGCUGAUUUAAAUGUUAAUCUCACCUACAAAAUACUUUCAGAGAAAUAUCCAGAAUAAUGUUUGACCAAAUACCUGGCUAGCAUGGCCUAGCCAAAUUGACACAGAAAAUUAACAGGGAAGAGCACACAGGGAAAAUCAGGUCUGGAGGACAACCCACGUGUGAUGCUAUGGAACAGACACUCUGCCUCACUAGCUUUUGAUCUGAGUCAUCUGGAAAAGGGGACGAUGAAUGGGGGCAAAAGCAUUCCAACAUCUGUAGAUAAGGAGCACACUGCCAUGAGAGGGUCUGACUUUCUGUGACUUUGACCUGCAGGAGGGAACACAUUUUACAUUGUGGCCCAGUGGAUAUAAAACUAUAAAUGCAUAGAUGUAGAUAGUGUGUGUAUGUGCAUCAAUAAAAUUGCAUGAAACCAAAAAGGUUUUAUGGCCCGGCAUUACCCAUAUUUCAUUGGCAGAUGAUGCGCUGUAUUUUCUGUUGUCUUCUAUUUCAUCACAAAGAAGAAAAGCUGGCUCUGUCCCACUGAACCCAUUUCACAGUGCUUAAUGGGUGGACACCUGUGGUAAAAAUGUGACUCAGGGCCUCUGGUGGAGUGGGAAAAACUCAGGAGUCUUAUGAACCGAAGCAGCGUUGUCGUGUAGAACUUUCUGCGGUGAUGGAAAUGUACCAUGGUGCACCAUCCAGCACAGGCCCCAUGUGUCUGUUGAGCACGUGAGACGUGGCCAGGCAAAUGAGGAAGUGAAUUUUAUAUUUUAUUCCAUUUUGAUGAGUUUAAAUUUGCUUAACUGCUCACUCGUGUGACUUGACAGUUUGAAAAGAGAGACGCUUUCUGCUUAAUGAGAUCUUAGCGGCCCAUCUUCACAGACGUGCUGAGCUCCACGGACGGCAUCUGUAAGCCACACACGAGAGAGAAAGAAGGCUCCUUCUCCAUCACUCCACCUCGCCCAGCAGCAGAUCUUCCCAGAAAACACAGAAGCCAGGCUCAGCCUCCACCGAGAAAGCCAACAAGCAGAGGACUGGCCUUCCCACCUCUUGGAGUGAUGCCAGCGUGAGCCUCAUGCACCAUAUGCGUGUACCAAGGAUGGUGUAAUGAGUCACCAGUACCCCGGGACACAGCAGGCCACCCUCCACUCAUCAGGCCUGAAGUUGAGAGGCAGCACAGCAAUUUAGUAGCCCAAACGUUUGAUUCAGGUUCUGAUUCUGCUAGUUCCCGGCUGUAUAACAUCGAGCGAGUUACUUAA